rnacentral:tRNA from 1 species
UCUAAUGUGGCAGAAAAGUGCAAUAGAUUUAAGCUCUAGUCAUAAGAGGUAGUCUCUUCUUUAGAA